CCGACGCGUAGCACCACAACGGUAGCAGCCACGGGUGGUGGAAGGGCACGUCGCCGCCGCUCAGGAAGAACAGACGGCAGAACUUGCUCAGGAACAGCAGCAGCGGGAUGAAGUGCGUCCAGAAGUUGAGCGUCUCGUUGGACUUCUAUUUGGAACUGAGUCCGACAGCUCAGGACUGGCUGCUCAGACUCCACAAUUUAAUGAAAAAUCUCAGAUGAUGACUCAGAAAACCUCUAAUGAUCUGAGGAAUAUAUUAAGGGAUUCCAGAGUCAAAGGCUGAUCAUGGAGGGCAUUGAUGAGGGAAGACUUCAGGUGGCUGGAGACCAGAAGAAAGGAACACUGGAAGAAUGAAAACGGUUGUGAUGCACUGCAGUGUG
rnacentral:antisense_RNA from 1 species